GACGAACGCUGGCGGCGUGCCUAAUACAUGCAAGUCGAGCGAAUUUACGAGAGCUUGCUCUCGUAAAUUAGCGGCGGACGGGUGAGUAACACGUGGGCAACCUGCCUAUAAGACUGGGAUAACUUCGGGAAACCGGAGCUAAUACCGGAUAAUUCACAUCUACUCAUGUAGAUGUGCUGAAAGACGGUUUCGGCUGUCACUUAUAGAUGGGCCCGCGGCGCAUUAGCUAGUUGGUGAGGUAACGGCUCACCAAGGCCACGAUGCGUAGCCGACCUGAGAGGGUGAUCGGCCACACUGGGACUGAGACACGGCCCAGACUCCUACGGGAGGCAGCAGUAGGGAAUCUUCCGCAAUGGACGAAAGUCUGACGGAGCAACGCCGCGUGAGUGAUGAAGGUUUUCGGAUCGUAAAACUCUGUUGUUAGGGAAGAACAAGUACCAGAGUAACUGCUGGUACCUUGACGGUACCUAACCAGAAAGCCACGGCUAACUACGUGCCAGCAGCCGCAGUAA
rnacentral:rRNA from 1 species